rnacentral:rRNA from 1 species
GGGGAAUAUUGCGCAAUGGGGGCAACCCUGACGCAGCCAUGCCGCGUGAAUGAAGAAGGCCUUCGGGUUGUAAAGUUCUUUCGGUAGCGAGGAAGGCAUUUAGUUUAAUAGACUAGGUGAUUGACGUUAACUACAGAAGAAGCACCGGCUAACUCCGUGCCAGCAGCCGCGGUAAUACGGAGGGUGCGAGCGUUAAUCGGAAUAACUGGGCGUAAAGGGCACGCAGGCGAUGACUUAAGUGAGGUGUGAAAGCCCCGGGCUUAACCUGGGAAUUGCAUUUCAUACUGGGUCGCUAGAGUACUUUAGGGAGGGGUAGAAUUCCACGUGUAGCGGUGAAAUGCGUAGAGAUGUGGAGGAAUACCGAAGGCGAAGGCAGCCCCUUGGGAAUGUACUGACGCUCAUGUGCGAAAGCGUGGGGAGCAAACAGGAUUAGAUACCCUGGUAGUCCACGCUGUAAACGAUGUCGAUUUGGGGGUUGAACUUUAGGUUUGGCGCCCGUAGCUAACGUGAUAAAUCGACCGCCUGGGGAGUACGGCCGCAAGGUUA